rnacentral:rRNA from 1 species
UAAAUAGCCGCAAUUAGUGCUAAGGUAGCAUAAUCAUUUGNNNNNNNNAAUAAAGACUAGAACAAAAGAUUUAACAUUUUUAUUUAUAUUUCCUUACUAAUAAUCCAAAUUUUACAAAAUGUAAUAAGACAUUUAUUAAUAAAAUAGACGACAAGACCCUAUUGAACUUAACUUAAGUUUUACUGGGGUAGUAAGUUAAUUAUAAUUUUAAGUUAAAAAAUUUAACAAAUAUCCAAUUAAUUGAUAAUUCAGUUACCAUAGGGAUAACAGCGCAAUUAUAUUUUAAAGCACUUAUAUAAAAUAUAUAUUACGACCUCGAUGUUGAAUUAAUAACCUGAUUUAAGUAAAUUUCAAUAAAGGAAGUCUGUUCGACUUUUAAAAAAUUACAUGAUUUGAGUUCAGACCGGUGUAAGCCAGGUCGGUUUCAAUCUUUUACAAAAAUUUUUGUAGUACGAAAGGACCUAAUAAUUUAAUAUUAUUAACUAUUUAGCAAAUAAAUGCAUUAAAUUUAGAAUUUAAAAAAACU